GACGAACGCUGGCGGCGUGCCUAAUACAUGCAAGUCGAACGCAGUGGGGACAGGUGAGUAACACGUGGGUAACCUCCCAUCAGAGGGGGGAACACUUGGAAACUGGUGCUAAACCCAUAUUGCUGGAUGGACCCGCGGUGCAUUAGCUAGUGGGUGAGGUAACGGCUCACCAAGGCGACGAUGAAUAGCUGACCUGAGAGGAUGAUCGGCCACACUGGGACUGAGACACGGCCCAGACUCCUACGGGAGGCAGCAGUAGGGAAUAUUGGGCAAUGGACGAAAGUCUGAUCGAGCAAUGCCGCGUGAGUGAAGAAGGUUUUCGGAUCGUAAAACUCUGUUGUUAGAGAAGCGGUAUCUAACCAGAAAGCAACGGCUAACUACGUGCCAGCAGCCGCGGUAAUAC
rnacentral:rRNA from 1 species